CAGGCCAGGGGUCUAAUCAGAGCUGUAGCCGCAAGCCUUCACCAGAGCCAUAGCAACAUGGGAUCUGAGCUGCAUCUGUGCCCUACACCACCCAAGAUCCUUAAUCCACUGAGCUAGGCCAGAGAUCAAAUCCCCGCCCUCAUGGAUGCUAGUCGGUUUCAUUAACCACUAAGCCACGAUGGGAACUCCAGUAUGCUUUUUUUAAAAAAAAAUGAACAGUUAGGGAACUCCUCAUUGAGGUGACAUUUGAGUAGAGACUGAAGGAAAUGAGUGCCACUCACAUAAGUAGAGGAAGAAAGGUGCACAGGCCCUAAGACAAGAGUGUGUUCAGGGCAUAGCAAAGAAACUAGCAUGUCUCGAGUGGAAGCGAAUGAGAAGGAGAGAUUAAGGAGAUGAAGGUAAGAGAUCGGAUUCGUUAACCACUGUGCCACGACAGGAACUCCAAUACCAUACUGUUUUUAAUGACUAGCUUUGUAAUACAGUCUGAAGUCAGGGAAUCUGAUUCCUCCAGUUCCAUUUUUCUUUCUUAGGAUUGCUUUGGCUAUUCAGGGUCUUUUGUAUUUCCAUACAAAUUUUAGAAUAUUUUGUUCUAGUUCUGUGAAAAAUGCCAUUGGUAAUUUGAUAGGGAUUGCACUGAAUCUGUAGAUUGCCUUGGGUGGUGUAGUCAUUUUGACAACAUUGAUUAUUCCAAUCCAAGGGCAUGGUAUAUUUUUCCAUCUUUUUGUGUCAUCUUUGAUUUCUUUCAUCAGAGUUAGAGUUCUCAUAGUGCAGGUCUUUUUUCUCUUUAGGUAGGUUUAUUCCUAGAUAUUUUAUUCUCCUUGAUGCAGUUGUAAAUGGGAUCAUAUCCUUAAUUUCUCUUCUUGAUCUUUCAUUGUUGGUGUAUAGAAGUGCAAGAGAUUUCCGUGAUUAAUCUUGUAUCCUCCAGCUGUGCCAGAUUCACUGAUGAGUUCUAACAGUUUUCUGGUAGAGUCUUUAGGAUUUCCUAGGUAUAGUGCAGAUAGAUGCUUUUCCCAUUUGGAUUCCUUUUUAUUUCCUUUUCUUCUGAUUGCUGUGGCUAGGACUUCCAAAACUAUAUUGAAUAACAUGGUAAGAGUGCAUAUCCUUAUCUUAUUCUAGAUCUUAGUGGAAAUGCUUUUAGCUUUUCACCAUUGAGAAUGAUGUUAGCUGUGGGUUUGUCACAUCUGGCCUUUAUUCUGUUGAGGUAGGUCCCCUCUGUGCCCACUUUUGGGAGAGUUCUUAUCAAAAAUGGAAUUGAAUUUUGUCAGAUAACACUUAUGUGUAAUCUAAUAAAUGAUACAAACGAACUUAUUUGUAAAACAAAAACAAACUGGCAUUUCAAAACCAUUGUUAAGGUUACCAUAGAGGAAACCAAACGGGGUGGAGGGGAGGGAGGGAAGACUUUAGGAGGAUGGGAAUAUUACAUAUAAACACCGCUCUAUAAAAUAACCUACUGUAUAGCACAGGGAAAUCUACUCAGCAGUUUGUAAUUACCUAUAUGAGAAAAGAAUGGAUAUAUGAAUAUGUAUAACUGAGUCACUUCACUGUAAAACUGAAGCCAGUAUCUUUUAAGCCAACUGUAUUCCAAUAAAAUUUUAGAAAGUACAUGUACCUGGUACAGAAUUCAGAUAAUCAUAUGCAGGACAAUAGAAGUAAACCUUCCUCCCCUGUCCACUAGCUAUACUGCUUCCCUCCCUGCAAUCUUCAUUACCAGUUUCUUAAUUAUUUAAGAUGAUCUCUGUGACGCUAUGAACAUAUAUUUGCUCUUUGUCAGUCUUAAGAUAUUUAACUAGGUUCUUUUGCCUUUAGGUUUGAAGUAUUAAAUACGUAAUACCUGUAUUAUCUAUGAUGUUAUUGCUUCUCCUUUCCAAAUCCAGCCUUCCCUGCCUACUCUGCAGUUAUCAACUGGACCCUGUGAAUACCCAUCCCUUGUCAAGAGGUACAGUGUAAAGUUUUGUCAGUAGAGGGUGCUGGUGAGACAACAGGAGGGGCAGGAGGAGGAGUACUUUCCCUGGGUCCAGUGUUCCUAUCAGAUACCUGCAGCACACAGUGUCUACAGCCUUGUGCAGUGCCUGGCUUCAGCAGUACUCAGUGGGCAGCAGCACGCAGUACCCUCGCUUGGCUAGCUUCCCCUGACCCCCCGCCUCCCGAAGCACUUUCUAAGCAAAGUGCUCUAAGCGUAAACCUUCUGGGGCUGCGGCUCUUCAAUUCAGCCAGGUUCUCUGUUGUUCAUGGCUGUGCCUUCUCUAUCAAGGUCUAGAUCUCACCCCUAGCGCUCUUUCUUUGGAUGUUCUGUCUCAGGCUAGGGUGAAGAGCCAGGAGGCUGGGCCCUGUGCCUGCCUAGAGUUCUCGGUUUCAUGCUAACAAGUCCUCCUUUCUGCAGUCUACAGUUUCAGUUCAUACCUCUGUAGUGUGGUUUCUGUCUCCUGAUUGGACUCGGAUACAAUACUUAAGCCUUCCUGACUAGAAAAGUAGUGGGUAUAAAGUCACACAAGAAGAUAACUCAUCUCACCCCCGAGAGCAACUAUUAAUGUUAUAAUGCUAAGCUCAUUUUAUACUUUGUUCUAAAUAUAAAAAUAAAACAGGUACUUGUCAAACAAAAAAAGGAACAAAAAAAGUAGUAGAAAAAAAAUGCCUUCCUGUCUCCUUUCUAACCACUUAGAAUAUCACUAUUAACAUUUUCUUAUACAUUCUCCCAGAAAUUUUUCCAGAAAUUCUUGGUGCAUCUAGAAAUAUAAGAGUGUAUUUUUUAAACAAAUAGAAAAUCAUACCAUAUAUACCUUCAUUUCAUGGUAAAAAUAAGAAUUAGGGUAGAAGAUUGGUCAUUUUCCAACUUUAUGACUUUGGACUGGCCUUCUAACUGUUCUGAAAACUCUGCUGAUUAAUUGGUAGGAGUGAAAUUGUGGACCCAGAUGUAAACAUUCACAACAAAGGAAUAUGAAGUCAACAAUAUGAAGUCACUGACAGAGAUGGUCUCUCUGAGCGGAGUGGCUUCCUAAGAAAAUUUUAAGGUCAUUAUAAAUGUUUCAGUUGAACUCUCAAUCAUGAGGUUAUCUAAAAAAGCACUGGAGUUCCCGUCCGUGGCUCAGUGGUUAAUGAAUCCGACAAGGAACCAUGAGGUUGCGGGUUCGAUCCCUGGCCUUGCUCAGUGGAUUAAGGAUCCGGUGUUGCUGUGAGCUGUGGUGUAGGUUGCAGACACGGCUCAGAUCCCAGGUUUCUGUGGCUCUGGUGUAGGCCGGUGGCUACAGCUCUGAUUAGACCCCUAGCCUGGGAACCUCCAUAUUCCGUGGGAGCAGCCCUGGAAAAGUCAAAAAGACCAAAAAAAAGAAAUAAAUAAAAAUAAAAAAA
rnacentral:lncRNA from 1 species